rnacentral:rRNA from 1 species
UACGGAGGGGGCUAGCGUUGUUCGGAAUUACUGGGCGUAAAGCGCACGUAGGCGGCUUUGCAAGUCAGAGGUGAAAGCCCGGGGCUCAACCCCGGAAUUGCCUUUGAGACUGCAUCGCUAGAAUUGUGGAGAGGUAAGUGGAAUUCCGAGUGUAGAGGUGAAAUUCGUAGAUAUUCGGAAGAACACCAGUGGCGAAGGCGACUUACUGGACACAUAUCGGCGCUGAGGUGCGAAAGCGUGGGGAGCAAACAGG